rnacentral:precursor_RNA from 1 species
GCCUAUCGUGAUGAACCAAUCGAGCUAUACUGGCUGGAACAAUAGUUCCUCAAGGUCCUACCAUGUCAGGCAGGUCGGUUGAAGAACGGUAAGACAA